rnacentral:rRNA from 1 species
UACGUAGGUGGCAAGCGUUGUCCGGAUUUACUGGGCGUAAAGAGCGCGCAGGCGGUCGAUCAAGUCGCGUGUGAAAGCCCCCGGCUCAACUGGGGAGGGUCACGCGAUACUGAUCGACUCGAAGGCAGGAGAGGGUAGUGGAAUUCCCGGUGUAGUGGUGAAAUGCGUAGAUAUCGGGAGGAACACCAGUGGCGAAGGCGACUACCUGGCCUGUUCUUGACGCUGAGGCGCGAAAGCUAGGGGAGCAAACGUG